rnacentral:rRNA from 1 species
AGUACAGACGAGUUUGAUCAUGGCUCAGGAUGAACGCUAGCGGCAGGCCUAACACAUGCAAGUCGAGGGGUAGAGUUCUUCGGGACUUGAGACCGGCGCACGGGUGCGUAACGCGUAUGCAAUCUACCUUAUACAGGGGAAUAGCCCAGAGAAAUUUGGAUUAAUGCCCCCAUAGUGUUAUAGAAUCGCAUGGUUUUAUAACUAAAGUUCCAACGGUAUAAGAUGAGCAUGCGUCCCAUUAGUUAGUUGGUAAGGUAACGGCUUACCAAGACAAUGAUGGGUAGGGGUCCUGAGAGGGAGAUCCCCCACACUGGUACUGAGACACGGACCAGACUCCUACGGGAGGCAGCAGUGAGGAAUAUUGGUCAAUGGGCGCAAGCCUGAACCAGCCAUGCCGCGUGCAGGAAGACGGUCCUAUGGAUUGUAAACUGCUUUUAUACAGGAAGAAACCUCCCUACGUGUAGGGACUUGACGGUACUGUAGGAAUAAGGAUCGGCUAACUCCGUG